UCUCUGGGCUGUAACUGACGCUGAGGAGCGAAAGCAUGGGGAGCGAACAGGAUUAGAUACCCUGGUAGUCCAUGCCGUAAACGUUGGGCACUAGGUGUGGGGGACAUUCCACGUUUUCCGCGCCGUAGCUAACGCAUUAAGUGCCCCGCCUGGGGAGUACGGCCGCAAGGCUAAAACUCAAAGGAAUUGACGGGGGCCCGCACAAGCGGCGGAGCAUGCGGAUUAAUUCGAUGCAACGCGAAGAACCUUACCAAGGCUUGACAUGGACUGGAUCGUCGCAGAGAUGUGGUUUCCCUUCGGGGCUGGUUCACAGGUGGUGCAUGGUUGUCGUCAGCUCGUGUCGUGAGAUGUUGGGUUAAGUCCCGCAACGAGCGCAACCCUCGUUCCAUGUUGCCAGCGGUUCGGCCGGGGACUCAUGGGAGACUGCCGGGGUCAACUCGGAGGAAGGUGGGGACGACGUCAAAUCAUCAUGCCCCUUAUGUCUUGGGCUUCACGCAUGCUACAAUGGCCGGUACAAAGGGUUGCGAUACUGUGAGGUGGAGCUAAUCCCAAAAAGCCGGUCUCAGUUCGGAUUGGGGUCUGCAACUCGACCCCAUGAAGUCGGAGUCGCUAGUAAUCGCAGAUCAGCAACGCUGCGGUGAAUACGUUCCCGGGCCUUGUACACACCGCCCGUCAAGUCACGAAAGUUGGUAACACCCGAAGCCGGUGGC
rnacentral:rRNA from 1 species